rfam:Oryza sativa (indica cultivar-group) chromosome 3, whole genome shotgun sequence.
AAAAUGACAAAUCCUAGAUUUCCGUGUCUAACGUUUAACCGUCCAUCUUAUUUAAAAAAUAUAAAAAAAUUAAAAAGACAAGUCACACAUAAAGUAUUAAUCAUGUUUUAUCAUCUAACAACAAUAAAAAUACUAAUUAUAAAAAAAUUCAUAAGACGGGCACUCAAACGUUGGAAAAAAAAACUCAGGGUUUGUUUUUUU